GAUAAUUAGGGUAGAGUGAAGCUGGUAUGCAAGAUGCAUACUCCUCAUACAUUGAAAUAGAUGUAGAGAGUGAAGUGAACCUUGUAUGCAAGAUGCACACUCCUCAUACACUAAAGUAAAUAUUGAGAGUAGAGUGAAUUUGGUACGUAAGAUGCAUACUCCUCAUACACUGAAAUAUAUACAGAGAGUAUACUAAAGUUGGUAUGCAAGACACACUCCUCAUACACUGAAGUACAUAAAUAGAGUAGAAUGAACCUUGUAUGCAAGAUGCACACUCCUCAUACACUAAAGUAGAUAUUGAGAGUAGAGUGAAGCUGGUAUACAAGAUGCACACUACUGACACAUUGAAAGUAAAGUGAAGCUGGUAUACAAGAUGCACACUACUCACACAUUGAAGUAGAUAUAGAGAGUAAAGUGAGGCUGGUAUACAAGAUGCACACUACUCACACA